UGGGGAAUAUUGCACAAUGGGGGAAACCCUGAUGCAGCGACGCCGCGUGAACGAAGAAGGUAUUCGUAUCGUAAAGUUUUGUCCUAUGGGAAGAUAAUGACAGUACCAUAGAAGAAAGCUCCGGCUAAAUACGUGCCAGCAGCCGCGGUAAUACGUAUGGAGCGAGCGUUGUCCGGAAUUAUUGGGCGUAAAGGGUACGCAGGCGGUUUAAUAAGUCGAAUGUUAAAGAUCGGGGCUCAACCCCGUAAAGCAUUGGAAACUGAUAAACUUGAGUAGUGGAGAGGAAAGUGGAAUUCCUAGUGUAGUGGUGAAAUACGUAGAUAUUAGGAGGAAUACCAGAAGCGAAGGCGGCUUUCUGGACACAAACUGACGCUGAGGUACGAAAGCGUGGGGAGCAAACAGG
rnacentral:rRNA from 1 species